ensembl:lncRNA
GGAACCUUCAAAAAAGUGCUUAACAGUUAAGCAGCACCAAACUUUGGAAAAAUCUGCUACAUACACACACUUUGGAGAGAAGUUUUGGGAAAAGAAAUAAAAAGGGGCGGUGUCUGCAUCUGGUCACUGUGGAACUGGGAGUUGGAACAGCUACACAGGUGACAGAAUCUUUUCUCCUGCAUCCCUAAAGCCAUGCUACCUCACCAGUGGAAGAGGCUGCCCCUCCAUGCUGGGCUCCAUACCUGCACUUUUCAGUUUACCCUUCCGUGGGGGCCUGGAACUGAGCAUCUGUAGAAGUCAUCGAUGCGGGGAAACCAUAGCUGCUGAGAAGAGCAAUACAAAAACAGGUGAAGAAGAAAUUAUUGAGCUGGAAAUGCGAGAAAUGACAUAAAAUGACACAUGGGGAAAAGGAAUACAGAAGCAAAAAUACAAGGAAAGUUGAGACAUGGAUGAUAGCAUUUGACAUUCCAGCAUCAAUCAAAAUGAUAAAGAAAACCCCCAAAUUCUGAGCAGGAUGUAUUCGGGGCACACACACGCUCUCCUAGCUACAUACUGGAGAGAUUUUAGGAUGUGAAGGAUGAAGAGAAAAGUCCUAAAAAUUUCUGUGAAGAAAACAGAUUGUUUACAAAGGAAUGCGAACCUGAUUGAUAUGAGUCUUCUUAGCAGCAGCAUUGUGUUGGAAAACACAAUGCAUGUUAUCUUCAAAAUGCUGAAGAAAGAUUACUUUGUGUUCCUUAAAUUAAGACUUUAAAACUAGCCAAAUUAUCCAACAAAUGUGAGAGUGAAAUAAAGAUAUUUUUGUACUUGGAAGAUAUAUUAGUCAGGGUCCCAACAGUAAACAAUGGCAUACUCAAAUUAGUAUAAUUCUAAUAGAAUUUACUUAAAACAUUUAUAGUCAUAUUUACUGAUUUCAAAACUCUUGAUUAUUUAAAAUAAAAAGCUUUGCUAAUUUCUUUGCUCACCAGCGGAAGCUGGAGAACAUGAGACAACUAUGAUGACUGCCUCCCAGGGCAGAGAGCAGAAUGGAAAGGGUAGAGAAAAGGAAGUUACAAUGUAGAGGUGGAUACAAACCAAAGGUGAAGAAUGGAGAUUCGAAAAAAUAGUUAAAGGUAAAAAGAAAGAGAUGUUAAAUUCUAAGGGUAAAAUAUUUUAAAAGGAAACAAGAGCUGAAAAAUAAAGUUGCGACAGGUAAAUGAUUACUUAAGUAAGGAUCAAAAGAUAACCAUGGUUGCAAUAUAAAUCAAAAGGAAAAGUCAUGAAAAAUAAUACCAAGAAAACAAUCUUGAGUCAUGGGAACUAAAACAAAACAAAUACUGAAUUUUUUUUUUUUCUGGAUAGAAAAUAUCUUCAAGAAGGAAAGGGAAAGGAGAGGACAGACAGACAGACAGAUACCUACAAGUAAGGAACUCAUGUCAACAGAAUCUUGAGGUGGCUCCCAUUAGCCCUUUAUGGGGAGAGAACCAAGAUGCUCACUCUAAUAUGACGCCCCAAACUUUGGUCCUUUACUUUGAACCUGCAGGCCAGAACCUGUGGGCACUCUCUUGUGUCUUUACUUAUAAUCUCGGGGGAGGGGGGGAGUGUUUUUUUUUUUUUUAAAUUUCAAACAGGUGGUAGUUGGGUGUGUUGCUCUUUGGUGGCCCACGUAGCUGUUAACAUCGCCUCCAAACACGUUCCACACAACUGGGGCAUUGGAGUAUUGGAGGAAGGUGGAGAAAGCCACGAGUGCCCCUAGAAUUUAAAGGCUGCUCAGUAAUCCAGGACAGGGGUCUCUUCACCGUUGAGUGUAACAGUUAGUGAGUUGGUUGGAGUUGUCUCUAAGGCAAACACUGGGGCAGUCUGCUUUGGAUUUCCCACUUUAAAGAUGGUUUGACUUUUUUUUUCCAUGGAUAAACAAAGAAAAGAGAGGAGAAAAAGAAAAUGAAGAGAGGAAAAGAAACAUUGGGAAAUCUCUCUUUAAGGCCAUGGUUCCAGUCAGUGUACAUCUCUGUAGAGAGUGAAUGCCAUUUUUCCAUCACUGAUCUUUACACUUUGAAACAUUGUUGCAGAUAUAAUUACGACAGUAAGCACGUGUUACUGCAAAAUUCGGUAAACAAGUGGAACCCCCUUCUGUGCUCGCUUCUCCGAGGUGCUGCUUCCUUUGUCUUAAGAACUGCACAAAAUACCAUAUGAGAGAAUACGACACAAAAACCACUCCUUCUGGACUUGAAUGUCAUGAAAAUAGACAGAUAAACUAUUUUAGUGAAAUUUGUUGUAAGCUGAGCCAACUUAAUUAAACUUCACGUCCAAUGCAAACUGAUACUUGAUCUCUGGUGUGAGCACACAUGUGUGUCGCUCCCACCUGGGUACGCUCAGGGUUUAUGGUCUUUUGUACUUUUGGAAACAAAUGUUAUUAUAUCUGCUUUCCCAUAGCUUUCCCCUUCUGUUAAUGGAGUGGGGAAUGAAAUAUGCUUUCUUAACUUCCCCUGGGCUUUAAGUAAAGUUAGGCUAUGACUAGGCAACCAGCAAUCGGAAACAGUGAGAAAGGAAUGGCAAAUUCUCGCAAGUCAAGUCCUUCCUUAACGUCAGCUACUGCAC